rnacentral:ribozyme from 2 species
ACCUGGAGUAAGCCCAGGAGCAUAGUGCUUCAGAGCUAAUGUACUUACCCAAGAUGAGUGUUCCUCUCUCUUAAAACACUAACUCAUGAUUCUCAUGACCUGUGUGUGGAGAGAUCUGGACUAGGAGUUAGGAGACCUCUGACUUUGCCAAACCAUACUAAUA